rnacentral:rRNA from 1 species
UACGAAGGGGGCUAGCGUUGCUCGGAAUGACUGGGCGUAAAGGGCGCGUAGGCGGCUUGCAUAGUCGGAUGUGAAAUUCCUGGGCUUAACCUGGGGGCUGCAUUUGAUACGUGUGGGCUUGAGUGGGGAAGAGGGUCGUGGAAUUCCCAGUGUAGAGGUGAAAUUCGUAGAUAUUGGGAAGAACACCGGUGGCGAAGGCGGCGACCUGGUCCUUGACUGACGCUGAGGCGCGAAAGCGUGGGGAGCAAACAGG